rnacentral:rRNA from 1 species
CCCUUAGAUGUCCUGGGCCGCACACGCGCUACACUGAAGGAGGCAGCGUGUACUCCUGGAUCGAAAGAUUUGGGUAACCCGCGAAUCUCCUUCGUGCUAGGGAUUGAGGUUUGCAAUUAUCCUUCAUGAACGAGGAAUUCCCAGUAAGUGCAAGUCAUAAGCUUGCGCUGACUACGUCCCUGCCCUUUGUACACACCGCCCGUCGCUACUACCGAUUGAAUGAUUUAGUGAGGACUUCGGACUGGGACCGAUGCGGCUUUCGGGCUGCGUCGGUAUUCUGGAAAGAUGUCCAAACUGUAUCAUUUAGAGGAAGUAAAANUCGUAACA